rnacentral:rRNA from 1 species
GAGCGAUGGAUUGAGAGCUUGCUCUCAAGAAGUUAGCGGCGGACGGGUGAGUAACACGUGGGUAACCUGCCCAUAAGACUGGGAUAACUCCGGGAAACCGGGGCUAAUACCGGAUAACAUUUUGAACUGCAUGGUUCGAAAUUGAAAGGCGGCUUCGGCUGUCACUUAUGGAUGGACCCGCGUCGCAUUAGCUAGUUGGUGAGGUAACGGCUCACCAAGGCAACGAUGCGUAGCCGACCUGAGAGGGUGAUCGGCCACACUGGGACUGAGACACGGCCCAGACUCCUACGGGAGGCAGCAGUAGGGAAUCUUCCGCAAUGGACGAAAGUCUGACGGAGCAACGCCGCGUGAGUGAUGAAGGCUUUCGGGUCGUAAAACUCUGUUGUUAGGGAAGAACAAGUGCUAGUUGAAUAAGCUGGCACCUUGACGGUACCUAACCAGAAAGCCACGGCUAACUACGUGCCAGCAGCCGCGGUAAUACGUAGGUGGCAAGCGUUAUCCGGAAUUAUUGGGCGUAAAGCGCGCGCAGGUGGUUUCUUAAGUCUGAUGUGAAAGCCCACGGCUCAACCGUGGAGGGUCAUUGGAAACUGGGAGACUUGAGUGCAGAAGAGGAAAGUGGAAUUCCAUGUGUAGCGGUGAAAU